CUCUUUGUCAGGAUGCAGAAAGUGAAGGUCAGGGCUCUCCCCAGGUAAACUCAUGCACCUGCAGAAGGACCGGAAAGCAAUGAGACGAUAUCUGAGUACCCUGCCUGCACACAGACCCAGAAGACGUGUGAAAACAAAUAGCUUCCCUCUCAGUACGCUGGGAAGACACCCGAAGGUGGCACACUGGACCUUCAGAGCCAAAAGCCAGCAUAAGAGGACCUGUGCUCUGCUCCAGGUGUCUUUAAGACGCUGCCAUUUGUGUGCAGCUGGCCCUUUAAAAAGAGCUCGAGGCCAGAGAAACCUCAGCCAGCAGAAUUAUUCAGUUUGUUUUAGCAACUGCUUCCUGAGCCCUGGUCUCCCAUUACUUCAUCUGCAUUCCCCAGAUGCUGACCCUGUCCCCUCUAAGCCCACAGCAUUCCCCCCACCCCCGCCCCUCGGAGGCUUUCAUAAUCUCCUAGGGGACACUCCCAGUACUGAGCCCUGGCAGCCCCACAGGAUGCCACCUCUCAGGUCACGGGUGGAACCUGACGCCCUUACCCAGCUUCUCUCGCUGCAAUCCUACCUGCCCCAGAUUUCAGGCCUGCGUCAGAGGCUGCUACCGGAGGAGGUAGGGAGGUGACCCUGUUUGGUCCUGCCCAGGCUGAACUCCUCCAGGCAAUUUCAGACAGCUGUCCAGGUGUUGCUUAGUAAGGUUGCAUUUAGAGGACGGUCCAGCAUGGACCGCCAGGGUCUCCGAGCAGUGGCUCCGAGCCCUGUCUCGUCAGUCUUUGCUGGACUGAUGAGUCAGCAACGUGUCCCUCUUCACACUCUCCCCCACCAGUGAGUGGCGCACUUCGGGGACGUCUUCCCGGAUUAGUUAGAGCACUUUUGGAGGCAAGAGACAGAGGGCGGAUUCAAACCAGCUUAAAAUAGUUUAUUGGCUAAGAAGUGAAAUGGAAUCCAAAGGAGUAGCCAGACUUGGGCAGAGCUACAUCCGGAACUGGUUCAAACGCUAUUGUUGGGGACCUCUCCCUCUCUCCACCUUACAAAGAGUGAAUCCACCGGGGCGCCUGGGUGGCUCAGUCGGAAAAGAAUGCAUCAUGAGAUGGACCAGAGCUAUCAGUCCCAUAAAGGCAGGAAUCAACACUAACUCAGACCUGUAACCAACAGCCUGUGAUCAAGCUGGAAUCCAUUCUUAAGAGACUUGAUCUUCAAUCACUGGGCGUCUCAGAACUGGCUCCAGUUUGGAACUUGGGCAACUGAUCAUGAGUUUCAACUGGGACCUCAGGUGACUGGAAACUCUGUGACAGCCUGUGGGUUCACCCUGGACACCUGGCACUCAGAAGAUAGUGGAUGUUUAUUGAAGGAGUCAAUGAGUUCCGUUUAUGAAAUUGUAAUUUUGUUCCCUGUUACUGGCCAUUAAGCAAUUGGUUUGCUUUUGAAUUACUAUUACCAAAGUAUUAAAUGUAUAGCUACAUCUACAUCUAUAUCUAUAUACUCCUGUUUAUGGCAGCAUUAUUUACAAUAGCCAAAAGGUGGAAGUGGCCCACCAGUGUCGACCCACCAGUGAACACCACUGACAGAUGAAUGGAUAAAAUUAUGGUUAUACAAACAAUGGAAUAUCAUCAACCUGAAAGGGAAAGACCAUGUGACAUGUCCUUGGAUAACCUUGAGCACAUUUGGAUGGACCAAAUAGGACAAAUAUCGUCCUAUUCCACUUAAUGUGAGGCGCUUAUAUUCAUAGAGACAGCGAGGGGGAGAGAAGAAUGGGGAUUCGGUGUUUGAGUUUCAGUUUGGGAAGACGAGAAAGUUCUGGAGACGGAUGAUGGUGAUGGUUGCACCAUAAUGUGAAUGUGUUUAAUGCCACUGAACAUCACACUUAAAAAUGGUUGAGAUGGUUAAAUUUUGCGUUAUGUGUAUUUUACCAUAGUUUUAAAAACUAAAAUU